rnacentral:misc_RNA from 1 species
AAGAGUAGUUAUUACAACAACUCCAAACCCAUGUGAACUUACCUAUGUUGCCUCGGCGGGGGAACCUACCCGGUACUUACCCUGUAGGCGACCCGCCGAUGGACCAUCAAACUCUGUUUAUUAUGUAACUUCUGAGUGUUUAAACUUAAUAAGUUA